AGAGUUUGAUCCUGGCUCAGGAUGAACGCUAGCGGGAGGCCUAACACAUGCAAGCCGAGCGGUAGAAGAUCUUCGGAUCUUUGAGAGCGGCGCACGGGUGCGGAACACGUGUGCAACCUGCCUUUAUCUGGGGGAUAGCCUUUCGAAAGGAAGAUUAAUACCCCAUAAUAUAUUUUACGGCAUCGUAGGAUAUUGAAAACUCCGGUGGAUAGAGAUGGGCACGCGCAAGAUUAGAUAGUUGGUGAGGUAACGGCUCACCAAGUCAGUGAUCUUUAGGGGGCCUGAGAGGGUGAUCCCCCACACUGGUACUGAGACACGGACCAGACUCCUACGGGAGGCAGCAGUGAGGAAUAUUGGACAAUGGGUGAGAGCCUGAUCCAGCCAUCCCGCGUGAAGGACUAAGGCCCUAUGGGUUGUAAACUUCUUUUAUACUGGGAUAAACCUACUUACGUGUAAGUAGCUGAAGGUACAGUAUGAAUAAGCACCGGCUAACUCCGUG
rnacentral:rRNA from 1 species